AUGGAGGGGCGGGAUGCGUUUGUCACAUCACCACUUGAUCCAAAUUCUGAGAGGGACAAGGGGCGCAAGAGGGACCCACCUGCUGUCUUAUCGGGAUGCGAGGCGGAGUUGGCCGCUCCCCAGUUGGUGCAUGGACAUGCAGGCAUGGAGGAGCGGGAUGUGAAUGUCACUUCACCUGUACAUGUUGAUGAUAUCCAUCAUGCAUCUGGAGGCGGCACGCAGACGAGGUGCAGUUGGAGCCGGUUUCCGUUGAAACCCAGGGGUUCUCGCGGCAGGAAGAGGUGGCGUACGGCCGGAUGA
rnacentral:rRNA from 1 species